UGAAAAGCGGGCAGUCAACUACACAGGUCUCACCCCAACUUCAGGCUUCCUAUUGUCUGAGAGAGCAGCUGGACCGCUGACCAAGCACAGUCUCCUUCCUGGUGCUAUUGGCCUGUCCAGAACUCCCACUCCUUUGGAAAGUCAAGAGAGGAGAGCACCCCACCCUACAUCACCAACAAGCCUUGCUGAGACCUGUUACCUCAGCCCAGCUGUGCCUGUCUGCCACCAUUCUUAACGACAAUAGACUGUUUGCUGCCUCAGGACAGUCACAGCUCCUGCAGACAGGACUCUGUGGUGUUUGCUAAGUUCCAUCUUCAACAGAACCAUCCCACAAGACAAGAAAGCCACAGGGAGAGCAAGAAGCUGGUCUGGGGUUCUCUGGGCCUCUCUGCAACUGGAACAAAGUCCCGAAUCCCACAAACUCUUGUUCCCGCAUCUCUCCUGGGUUCUUCAUGUUGUACCACCAGCUGGAAAGCCAAGCUGCUAGUCCAAGCAAUAGGAGUCUCACUUGGGCCUUGUGGGUUAAUUAAAGGUUUUCUCUCUGGUAGUCUCACA